rnacentral:rRNA from 4 species
UACGAAGGGGGCUAGCGUUGUUCGGAAUUACUGGGCGUAAAGCGUAUGCAGGCGGACUUUUAAGUCGGGGGUGAAAUCCCGAGGCUCAACCUCGGAACUGCCUUCGAUACUGGAAGUCUUGAGUCCGGGAGAGGUGAGUGGAACUCCGAGUGUAGAGGUGAAAUUCGUAGAUAUUCGGAAGAACACCAGUGGCGAAGGCGGCUCACUGGCCCGGUACUGACGCUGAGAUACGAAAGCGUGGGGAGCAAACAGG